rnacentral:lncRNA from 1 species
AUGUCAAUGAUAGUUCAGACACAAUUAUUUAAACAUCAUUAUUACCAGCCAUUUUCUCUGUCCCCCAGGUCCCCUGAUGGCAGCCUGUUGUCAGAGUGUAACAGAGACUGCUCCUGCUUGGCUGGGGAGUGGGACCCUGUGUGUUCAGACAAUGGCAUCACCUACACCUCCCCCUGCCUCGCAGGCUGCUCCAGCUUUACAGGUUACGGCAAGAACACGGUACCAAUACUAUUAAUGUACUGAGUGUACAACACAUUCACAGGGAUGCUGGCCCAUGUUGACUCCAAUGCUUCCCACAGUUGUGUCAAAUUGUCUUUUGAGUGGUGAACCAUUCUUCAUACACACGGGAAACUGUUGAGCGUAAAAAACCCAGCAGCAUUGCAGUUCUUGACACAAACUGGUACCCCUGGCACAUACAACCAUGCCCCGUUGAAAGGCAUGUAAAUAUUUUGUCUUGCCCAUUCACCCUUUAAAUGGCACACAUACACAAUCCAUGUCUCAAUUGUCUCAAGCCUUACAAUAUUUUUUUAAACCUUUCUCCUCCUCUUUAUCUAUACUUAUUUAAGUGGAUUUAACUAGUGACAUCCAUAAGGGAUUAUAGCGUUAACCUGGAUUCACCUGGUCAGCAUAUGUCAUGGAAAGAGCAGGUGAUCUUAAUAUUUUAAUUAACUGGGGCCUUGUUGAGGCCUUAUCUAAGUAAGUAAUUGCUGAUUGACAAUAAAGUAUUAUUUUGAUGUAUGGGAAAAAAUAUGGUAUGCAAUUCCUAUGUAGAGAAGGUUCUCUCUGGUAGUUGUUCAAUAUGAUUUCAACUUAUACAGGGCACUCUUUUUUACUUUUCUUUAUUAACAAAUAUCAUCAAACAAAAGAAGAAUAGUCACAUGCAAACAAGCGUACUAACAAACUAUUUACAUUGCCAGGAAUCCUAAACAAACAAAUCAUAUUCAUUAAGACUACAAGUUUGAAUUGCCUUUUUGUUUUUCAUUAUAGUUAGUGAUGCCAUAUUGUUUAAACUCAUUUAUAAAGUGAAAAAAGUUAGGUUUUGAAUUAGGCCAUUGGCAUUUGUGAAUAUGAAAUGUACCUAGUAUUAUUAGCAGUUGAAUUAAAUAUGCUACAUCUUUAUCCGUCAGAAUUUCUGAAAUAAAUCAUUAUAUCAAAACCAUUAAAUAGUACAACCGGCCCAAUUUAUUUUGUAACAAAAUUCUGUAUGUCAAUCCAAAACAUUCUGCUAUAAAUACAGGUAAAAAACAAAUGCAAAAAUGGUCUCCUUUUCCAUUCCACAGAAAUCACAGUUAUAUUCAAUAUUCAGCUUGUGUCACGCCCUGACCAUAGAGAGCCCUCGGGGUUCUCUAUGGUGUUUUAGGUCAGGGCGUGACUAGGGGGGUUUCUAGGUAUUAUAUUUCUAUGUUGGUGUGUGUAUAUGGUUCCCAAUUGGAGGCAGCUGAUAAUCGUUACCUCUUAUUGGGGAUCAUACUUAGUGUGUCCUUUUUGUCCCACCUGCGAUGUGGGAUAUUGUUUUGUGUGAGUGCCUAUGUGAGUGCCUAUGAACCACACAGAGGUAGAGGCAGAGGGCCUUCAGGGCUAGCCAGUCAGCCUGCAUGCUCUGAUCCUCAAGUCAAUUGUAUUUAAAUUCAUGUUCAUUAAAGAUUUGUAUUCAAGAAUUGAAAAGUCCCAUUUACUUAAUGAUACUUUUUCGCUGUCUUCAACCCUCAAGAACCAGGGUGAGUCUGGGUCUCCCUUUUCCUGGGCAAACACAACUUGCAUAUCGUCAUAGACUAGGCCGAAACGUUAAUCUUUUAACCUUGCUUGAAUAAAGCAAUGCAUUUUUUAUAGUGAGCAAGAGUUGCGCUUUUUCCUUUUCUAUGAUCAUUCAAGUUUUUGGUUGCACCUCAACUCAACGUUGGUUUCUGUUUAUUUUAUUUUUACAGGGACAGUGCACAUUUAUCAACGUUUCAGUUAAGCCAGUUAGCCAGCCGGCUAAUUUUCAACCGCAGUCCCUGGGCAGGUUAUUAAAAAACAAUUACAAAUAGACAAUCAUUGAGCAGUGAGCACACGCAGAGCAACAUAGGACAAGCAAGACGUAGCAUACAGACAGAGCAACAUAGAAGAAAAAGCAACAAGACAAAAUCCAUUAAAGCAACAGUGUUUCCACACCUCACAAGCUACAGACAAC